AAACUCAUGUUUGACCUCAGAUCGUAUAAAUCUUUCGUCUUAUACUAAAGAUUUCUGUGGGGAGAAGCGCCAUGAGUAAUAUCUCAUUUUGAUGGUUGUCUUGUAUUAAUGCGAGGCU
rnacentral:snRNA from 1 species